GAGUUAGAUUAGCCAUGCAUGUCUAAGUAUAAGCGACUAUACUGUGAAACUGCGAAUGGAUCAUUAAAUCAGUUAUGGUUUAUUUGAUGGUACCUACUACUUGGAUAACCGUAGUAAUUCUAGAGCUAAUACAUGCAGGAAGACCCGACUUCGGAAGGGUUGUAUUUAUUAGAUAAGAAACCAAUCCAGCUUGCUGGUUGCGUGCCGAGUCACAAUAACUGCUCGAAUCGCAUGACUUUACGUCGGCGAUGGUUCAUUCAAAUUUCUGCCCUAUCAGCUUUCGAUGGUAGGAUCGAGGCCUACCAUGGCGUUUACGGGUAACGGAGAAUUAGGGUUCGAUUCCGGAGAGGGAGCCUGAGAAAUGGCUACCACAUCCAAGGAAGGCAGCAGGCGCGUAAAUUGCCCGAAUCCUGACACAGGGAGGUAGUGACAAGAAAUAACGAUACAGGGCUACAUCUAGUCUUGUAAUUGGAAUGAGUACAAUUUACAUCUCUUAACGAUGAUCAAUUGGAGGGCAAGUCUGGUGCCAGCAGCCGCGGUAAUUCCAGCUCCAAUAGCGUAUAUUAAAGUUGUUGCAGUUAGACGCUCGUAGUCGGAUUUCGGGGCAGUCCGACCGGUCUGCCGAUGGGUAUGCACUGGCCGGAGUGUCCUUUUUGCUGGAGACCGUGCCUACUCUUAACUGAGCGGGGGCGGGAGACGGCACUUUUACUUUGAAAAAAUCAGAGUGUUUCAAGCAGGCAGCUCGCUCUUGCAUGGAUUAGCAUGGGAUAAUGAAAUAGGACUUUGGUGCUAUUUGUUGGUUUCGAACACCGAAGUAAUGAUGAGAAGGGACAGUCAGGGGCACUCGUAUUCCGCAGAGAGAGGUGAAAUUCUCAGACCCGCGGAAGACGAACCACUGCGAAAGCAUUUGCCAGGGAUGUUUUCACUGAUCAAGAACGAAAGUUAGGGGACAAAAAUGAUCAAUACCGUCG
rnacentral:rRNA from 1 species